rnacentral:rRNA from 1 species
CAGCACCUCAAGUGGUCAGGAUGAUUAUUGGGCCUAAAGCAUCCGUAGCCGGCGCUGUAAGUUUUCGGUUAAAUCUGUACGCUCAACGUUCAGGCUGCCGGGAAUACUGCAGCGCUAGGGAGUGGGAGAGGUAGACGGUACUCGGUAGGAAGGGGUAAAAUCCUUUGAUCUAUUGAUGACCACCUGUGGCGAAGGCGGUCUACCAGAACACGUCCGACGGUGAGGGAUGAAAGCUGGGGGAGCAAACCGGAUUAGAUACCCGAGUAGUCC